rnacentral:rRNA from 1 species
UGAGGGGGGCUGCUCCUAGUACGAGAGGACCGGAGUGGACGCAUCACUGGUGUUCGGGUUGUCAUGCCAAUGGCACUGCCCGGUAGCUAAAUGCGGAAAAGAUAAGUGCUGAAAGCAUCUAAGCACGAAACUUGCCCCGAGAUGAGUCUUCCCUGAGACCUUGAGUCUCCUGAAGGAACGUUAAAGACGAUGACGUUGAUAGGCCGGGUGUGUAAGCGCAGCGAUGCGUUGAGCUAACCGGUACUAAUGAACCGUGAGGCUUAACCUU